rnacentral:rRNA from 1 species
AACGAACGCUGGCGGCAUGCCUAACACAUGCAAGUCGAACGAGACCUUCGGGUCUAGUGGCGCACGGGUGCGUAACGCGUGGGAACCUGCCCUUAGGUUCGGAAUAACUCCCCGAAAGGGGUGCUAAUACCGGCUAAUGUCUUCGGUCCAAAGAUUUAUCGCCUUUGGAUGGGCCUGCGUUGGAUUAGCUAGUUGGUAGGGUAAAAGCCUACCAAGGCGACGAUCCAUAGCUGGUCUGAGAGGAUGAUCAGCCACACUGGGACUGAGACACGGCCCAGACUACUACGGGAGGCAGCAGUGGGUGAUAUUGGACUGUGGGCGAUAGCCAGAACCAGCUAGGCCGCGUGAGUGAUGUAGGCCGUAGGGUUGUAAAGCUCUUUUACCCGGUAUGAUAAUGACAGUACCGGGAGAAUAAGCUCCGGCUAACUCCGUG